rnacentral:lncRNA from 1 species
GGUUGAAAUCAUCUAUCUAGAACCCUCGGUCCGGGUUCAUCAGGGGUCGAAACUCAAGUCUCUUGAACCACUCUCCCACAGAUUCCUUGACCCAUCUAGAGGGAGGGAGAGAGAGAGAGAGAGAGAGAGAGAGAAGAGAGAAGAGAGAGCUCUUUUUCAAAAUAGAACUCCUCUCUCUCUUCCUCCCAAACAUGGCCAUGCGUCCCAUGGCUAGCGACCCCACACCAUCUGAUGGUGAGGACUCAGGGACGCAGCUAUGGACACCAUCUCGACAACAACCACCGCUAGCGGUGACUGGCAAAGCAAAGGAAAAGGAAGUAUCCUAUUCAACCAACCGAUAGCGACAUGUGGAGAAUAGGGAAAAGAAAGAGAAAAGGUGAGGGUGGCUAUCUCGGUCCAGCGACACCCAAGGGAAGAGAUUCGGCAAUAUUUUUGGCAAAACCAAAAGGAAAAAUUCGAAGGAUAACUCGGAGAUCGGCAGGUGAUAUCUUGAGAAAUCAGUGAUGGAGUCCGUGGGAGAAGAAAAGGCCUUCUUAUAGGUUUAGUUUCUAUGGUUUUUAGCCUAGAUUAGGCAACGUCGCCCCAAUCUUGUCGGAAUUGGGAAAGAAGACUCCUGAUCGGAGUCUUCUUCCUCCCCUCUAGUCACCUACCGAGCAAGCGUUUCCCAUGGGGUUGAGCCUCUUCAGGCCGGCUCAUGGGCUAAAAGUUGGGUCAUUACAAUGGUACUGAUGCAGGGUCUAGUACCAAGAUGGCGAACCUUGAUUGACUGUCAAGAAGCUAGUUCAUAUAACUUUAUCUUUAAUGCUUGCCAUGUUUGUUUUCCCAAUUUUUUGUUGUUUCUAUUUUUUGUUCUUUAGUUAGGCAUCCAGUUUAUUUAUUUUAUUAUGUAUGUAUGUUGAACUUUCCAAGAUGUGCUUGUACAUCUAUUUUUCUAAUCUUUGUGGUUCUUCUACUUCUACUCUAGUUGUGAUAAUGUGUUUUUACUUUUAUUCUAUGGUAGUAAACUGAUAUUUUAUAUAGUUCACAUUAUAAGACAGAAAAGGACAAGGAAAAAGUGAGGGGCAAAGGCAAGGAAAGACAAUAUUGUGUUUUUACAUCUAUUACUAUAGUAUUUGUGGUUCUUCUAGCGGCAUCACCAUUGGCUUCAUUAGUCAUUAAAAAGUUAAAUGCUUUAUGAUGUGAUUAUGUUUCAAUAACUUUAAUCAGUGGUGGCUUUUCUUCAGUGUGAUCUGCUAGAGCAGUUCAUGUCUUUCAGAGAAGCCAUGUUUUUCAGAACAGCCAUAUCUUUCAUCUUCUCUUCUGCAUUGCUUAGGUUGUAUAGAAUGAUUGGUUCGCUUUCGUGAAAUCAUGACAUAUCUGAACUUCCAAUGGACUGCUUGUACCUUGUUUGUGCACUUGAGUUUGGCAGGUUCUAAGAAUGCCCUGAGGAUAAUAAUCAAUGAUUCUCCAUCAAGCCAAGUAUAUAAAUUCGGACAACGUUUGCAUGAGAAUUUCUGUUGAUUGUUUUAAUCAUCUCUUGUCUCCUAUUGUAUCUAAUUAUUAUAAUCUUGGUAAACUCAACCAUUAGGCCAUUUUCGUUCAUAAAUUAUUUAUCUAUGAUAAAGCUUCGGAAUCCUUUCUACUUUCUAGUUUCUACUGAAACAUGAUAGGUGUUCACACUCCACAAGAGCAACUAUACGUAUAAUAUGUUACUUUAAUUAAACUCCAUGUUGCAGGUUAAAAAUGGGGAAAACAAGACUUCAUUCGAAUGUCAUUUUCUUACUAGAUAGUUUCUUACUAUUAUUGGUUGGAAUAGGAGCUCAGGUACCCUAUGUCAUGCUCAUGUGCUAGUUGCGGAUGCCAAUUUACCUGCUCAUAAUCGUGUUUUUGAUUGAAAGCAUUGGCGUGGAAAGGUAGGCAUGGCCUGCUAUGUUACAAUAGGAGAAACCUAUUCUGUUACAUGUUUUGUACUGUAACUUGGAAAUAAACAUGUUGUGAACACUUGAAAAGAAUCUUGACUAUCACAUAGCAUUACAGAAUUAAGAAAAGAACCUAAACUUUCAUCUAUACCAUUUAAGAGAAAACUUUAAAGGUAACCUUACAUAAAGUAUCAUUAUAUAGAAUUAACAAUCUGAGGCAGACAAGGAGUUGAAAUUUUAAAGCAAAAACUUGAUUUUCCAAUUAUAUUAAUUAGUUAAGAUAAUUUGAAUAGUCAAUGUUUUGAGCAAGGUUUAAAAUAUCAAUACCAAGCACAAUACUGGUUUUGUCCCAUGUCAGGACGAUACGAUGCUACCAUCUUGACUCAUGGGAUAGCCUAGCAUCCCAGUAAGGAAGCCUUUUUUUUUUUCUUUUUUGUCCUAAAUGAAUAUUUGACUAAAUACUGAUAUGUUCUUGGGGAGGUUUUCAAUAUUGAGGGGACUAGAUAAUUUUGAGGGCAGGCCAAACCUGCCCUCCUUGCUCCUCUUUGUCCUCUGUGUGUGUGUGUGUCUGUCUGUCUUGACCUUUUUCUUGCCCUGACCGCUUGUGACUAACAUAGGGAAAACAGAUCAUGUGCCCCCCAACCCCCACUUUAUUUUGAAAUCAAAUGAUCUGGUUGGGUCACACCCGGUUCUAGCGAAACCAGCCUUGAUAUCGGUCAGUCCUAACUGGUUUUGGAAGGGACGAGCGAGACAUCCAGGCCAUUGAUGGUCAAGUGUCCUGCAAGUGUUCUUGUUCUGGCUUCCUGUCAAAAUGGUACAGUACCAAUAGUCCUGCCCAUUUCCACGAGACAAAUUCUUUCCUUUCCAUGAACUUUUAUAUAUUUGCACAGAUUUAGAUAACUGAUCAUAUAUAUUCGGUCUGACUUGUGAGGUAUGAAUCUUUAUUGACAAAUCUUGUGAUAUAUCAUCACAAUACACUAUGAUGUAGGUUGGUACAUAGUACCCGAUGUCCACCUUGUCCCAUGCUGCUAAACUUGUGACAUAAUAUGAUACCUAUGUGAAUUGCAUAGCUUAGGAAAACAAGUUGUAUGCUGAAAGGAGAACGCCAUAGACAAUCACCCAACCUGCAUUUACUUUUUGUAGAGAAAGCAAAAUGUACCCAACUGUUCAAAAUGAAUGAAAAGUCAGAAUGAGCACAUGAGAGAGAGAGAGAGAGAGAGAUUUUAAGUGUCAGGUUGUGCUGGUCUGUGAUGAUUGGCAUGUACCAUGCCGAACCAAUGCUAGCAUUGGCAUCAACAUGGGUUGGCAUGGAAUCCAUUUUAUCCCUCUUUUUUCUUAUAUAAAAAUGGUUUUAAUUUUAAUCAUAUAUAAUAAUUAUUUUUUGGCAUGUCUAGAUAAGUGUGUUGGCAUGACAUGACAUGAUACAUCGCAUGCUGGCCACUCUAGGAAUUUCUCAUGCUAGCUACACUUAAAUCCAUUGGAGAGACUAAUAUAGUUAGGAUGAAAUAAUAAGUCGAGAAAUACAAUAGAUAACUUUGUGGUACGAACCAAUUAUGUUAGCUGCAGGAUUUAGUUUUGAAAAUAAAAAAAGAAGAAAAGAAAGAAGAAAAGUAAAAAAGGUUUACAGGAUUAGGGUUUAUGAAAAGAUUAGAGGGUUGAGACUUGAGAGAGAUGUAUAUCAAGGGAUUAAAAAUAAGCUUAAACCACCAAUUUGUUAUAAAAAGAGAGCUCCUUGAUUGUGCGGCUCUAGCUUUUUUCCAUAAAAUUCCCUCUUUGUUACGACUAUAGGUUAGAUAACAAGAUAAGAAGACUAAGAAGAGAAGUAAAGGAGGUGGCUGCAUUACUAGGGCUGACAAUCAUUCAUGCUCUUUUGCAAUGACAAAAGGCCAGAUAAGCAUGAUGGCAUGGAUUCGAGUCCGGCAUAGUCACUUUGUGUGAAAAUACUAAAGGUUAGGUUUGUUCCCAGUCCACUCCUCAUAGGACCCUGGAUUGUUCGAGCCAUAACUAUGUAAUGGCCUUUUUCAUAGAAUAACAUAUCAAGAUGGUUAAUAUAGGAUAAUGUAACAUGUAAGUGGGAAUAGACAAAAUACCUUUUAUGACUUAUGAAUAUGCCAUCAUUGGUUAUCAUACAGUAAUAUGUAAAGAUAGUUGUUGAUCGUAAUACAACAGUUAAUGUAUUACAUAUUAGCAGUGAGAUGCUUUCAUGAACAAAAUAUUGGAAUAACCGAAUUUUCUGUGUAAAUAAAUUAAAGUACUUUGCAAUGAAAUAAUAUAUGUUGAUAGUCAAAAUGGUAAAAUCAUAUUUUUGUUCGAAUGAUGAUCCUAUGUGAGGAACAAUUAUAAUGUACAACAUUGUUACUCUUGUGCUGCCUCCAUUUAGUUUAUUUGCUCUGCAAAGACCAAUAUCCAUAUGCUUGAGAUAUUCAAACUUUCUUGUUGUGCAGUUCUAUGAAGAAGAACCUGCAAUGUUAAUGGUACUUGUAACUUCUUUUUAUUUUUGUAGGUUGCCCGUGGUGAUAAUAGUGGUGGAGAAGCCAUCCCAAUGCUUCUAAGAAUUCCUAGAUUUUCAGACCCUUGGGGUGGCUAUGACAUGAUUGGUUUUGGUGACAUUCUAUUCCCUGGCUUGCUUGUUGCUUUCAGUUUCAGGUAUCCUCAUUAAUUGUUGAAUUUUUAUGUGUUAAAAGUCUUUUUCCAUGCAUUUUGAGGAUCCUGGAUAAUGCAUUUAAUAGUUUUAUGGUGCAUACAGUUUAUUAUCUAAUUGGAGAAUGCCGAUUUACAAAUGCCAGCUUAUCAUCUGAUUUCACUUCUAAAGAAUCAUGCCAUAUGUUAGUUUUACAAAAUUUAUACGUUAUGCUAUGAACUAAAGUAAUAUUGACUUUACAAGAAUAUUAAUUGGAGAACACCAUGAUUAAGGACCAAGUCCAUUUUGACGGUAACGUAUUGCAUCAGAUAGAGGUUGUCUCAUGCCCUGAGUCCUUUACCUAGCUCGGCCAUGUGACACGGUUGCAUGAUCCUUAGAGCAUGGCUGUAGGGAGCAUGCAAGGCCUAUAAAAUGAACAAAAUUCCAAUAACACCAGAAAUUUAAAUCAAAACACGUCAUAACCAUAAUAAUCCAACUAAAUAGUUCCACCAUUAACAAAUAGUAAAAUUUGUUCAACUUCAACUGCAUAAAUCAAUUGUUCAUCUGGCAUCACAAAUAAACUAACUAAUCCAUCACUUGUUGAUCAUCUCCAACAUUCCUCUAUUAGGCAUCUUGUGACUCUGGAAAAAGGUUCAACAAGAUGAUAUGAGCUAACAGCUCAGUAAGAAUUUCCCUUAUACACACAGACAUAUAUUGAAUGAAAAAAUUGUCUAACAACAAUUGUAGCAAUUAGGAUAGGAUAAAGCAAUCAACAUCAUAAGAUAUUCAAAAAUAACUGCAGGGAACAAUAAAUAAUAAUGACCCAGCAGGUUACUUAAUAACUCAUGCAUUCAUUAGAUUGUGUUUUCACAGUUAUAAUUAUAUGUCCGAGAUUCAAUUCAAUAGAUUACAAUGUAAUUUAUUUUGAAUUCAGCUUCGGGCUAAUCAUGGCCAUGUUUCCCGCCAAAUGAUGGGGCAAUGAUGGCACAUUUCCAGCCUGUGAUGGGGCACCGAUAAUGCCACAUUUCCAGCCUAUGACAGGACAACGAUGUCAACGAGAUUAGCCCAUAGCUCACCAUCCAUAGAUAUCAAGAAUGCAUAUCAAUUAUUUUAAAUUAAUCUCAGCUUUGGACUAUCCAUACUCCAUAGUCAUGUUUCCAGCCUGUGAUGGGGGCAACAAUGGUGCCACACUGCCACGUUUCAGCUUGUGAUAGGGCAAUGAUCAUGCCACAUUUCCAGCUUGUGAUGGGGGCAAUGAUGACAUGGAUAGUCCAUCACCACCACUGUCCACCAACUAUCAAAAUUAUGUGAGUUUCAUAUUAUAUUAUUUUCAUGCAUCUAUCGUGCUCACAAUAAGGCAUACAACAAAAUCAUUAGUUCAUUUACCAUCUACCAUAAAUAUAAGCAUAUCAAAAUGCACGUACAUGCGAGGAAGCAUGCAAAGUGCAAAAUCCUUACUCUGUUAGUAGUGCAAUGAGUCAACUCGGUCGGAGUGGCCGUGCCUUCUUCUUUCCUUUCUUUUGCUUUGUCUGAGUGGAUAUUCGAGGCAUUGGCUUCUUACCCUCACUUAAUCCACCUCCUUAACUUUCCUGGUUGGCUUGAGCAGGUGGGCUACCAUUGCUCAGCCUGUUUUCAAAACCACUGACUGAUCACUAUCCCUUCUACACAUUUUUUUCAGCCUAUAUUAGACAUUUGAUAAAAUGAUACCUGAUGGAAUUUCCAGCAUGUUGCAUUAAAAAAUAUAACAAAUAUGAUGCGUCGCUUAAAAUAUUAAAGGGCUGUCUUAAUAUAAAUAUCAAAUUCUAUGAGAUCAUAUUAUAUGAGAAAGACUUAUAACCUAUUUCUAGUUGUUCUUAGCUUCCUAUAUUUGCAAUAACUACUAUUCUUUUAUUUAUGCAUAAUUACUUCUUUUUCUUAAAGAUAUGGAUUAAAGAUUCAUGCACAUACACAUACAUGGAGGCAGCGAAGUGGGGAGGGAUGGAGAUUGAUUGGGACCUCAGAAGUUUGCGGGCAGAGAGCUUGAUCUAGGACUUGGGAGGAGGAUACAUUGUGCAAAGGGAGAUUUUUAUUUUAGAUAGGAUCUUGAGAAGGGAGGGAUUAGCUAAAGUUUAUUGCAGGAUUCGAUGGGUGAACUGUGUAAGGUGGGAUUUUGAGGCUUGGAUAUCAGAUCUGCUUAGCAGAUCCACUUGCAUUGACAAAGGGUGCUAUAGAAGUCUAUCCAUGACAGCUGUACUAACCCUAUAUAUAAUAUCUUAAAGUGAUUUGCUUGAGCUAUAGAAAUAUCAGAAAAACAACUGAUCACCUCACCACCAACAACAGUCCUUGGUUGCCCAAUGUCUGCAUACGAGUUCAACUGUACUACACUAUUUCUAUGUCCAUUUUCAUGUUUCUCUAUAUUUCCCAUCCAAUUCCUCAUAACAUCUGAACUUCUAAAAAAUUUGAAAGAGCUUUCUCAGUAAAAGGACAAAAGAAUGGUGAUCUCAAUGGAACCCAAUUUGUAUUACAGAAUUAGUUAGAGAACUCUUUAUUGUACCUUUAGUUAUAAAUGUUGCAAAAAAAUCAUGUCAUUAACAACAUUAAUGACCAAAAAGCUUUGUAUGAUCAGCAUAAAUUAAACAAAAAUGCUUCUCUUUUCUAUCUUGUCAAAGCGCAAUGUCUUAAUGCCACUCUCUAAUGUGUGUUAGAAGUUCCAUGGGAUGUGCUGCAAGUAAUAUAAAAAGAACUCUUAAUAGAGUGAAAUGUUUUAAAUGACAAAUAUUUUAUAGAAAACCACAAGAUUAUGGAAUAAUAUUGAUUUCACAUAUUGUAAGAUCUCUUGGAUGUUACCAUAUUAGCAAAAACAUGCUUUGGCUCCUUUCUCUUUUACAAAAAGGUAUUGGUAUUAGUAUCUUGAAUAUCAUUAAUUAUAAACAAUCUAAAGGAUUGAGGUGCUGGUUGACACACGACAUGGGCUGAUGCAUUUUGGGCACAUGCAUAGCACCAUUACCAAGCUCUGGCACCUUUUGGCAUGGGAUUUUUCUCUUAUAUAUUUUUUUCUUUUUUGUAAGUUUUGAUACUUUGAACUUCUUGCUAGUGCAUUUUAAGAGUUGUUUCAUGCAUUAAAAUAAUAAUUUGAAUCCUAACACUUUAUCAUGUAUGUGUUCAUUCAGAGUUUUGUCAUCUAUCAUUUGAAAUGUAUAAAAACAGGUCUAAAAACCUCAUCUAUCUGAAACAUCAUAUUCCUCUUUUUUGGUGUCCAAGCAUUAUUUAGAACCUUUGGAUGGGUAAUAAAUAUUAAGAUAAAGCAUGCAUUUCUGUGAGUGAUUGGUAAUGAAUGUAAGUGAUGUUUUGGGUAAAUGAGCCUAGUGGAAGUAUGGAUUUACUUCUACUGCCAUUUUUAGAUUUAGAUACGAAGCAUCAAAUAUGAGAUAAUUGCAAUCACCUUUGGAUGGGUAAUAAAUAUUAAGAUAAAGCAUGCAUUUCUGUGAGUGAUUGGUAAUGAAUGUAAGUGAUGUUUUGGGUAAAUGAGCCUAGUGGAAGUAUGGAUUUACUUUUACUGCCAUUUUUAGAUUUAGAUACGAAGCAUCAAAUAUGAGAUAAUUGCAAUCUUGAAGUUCUACAAAAGGCCACAAUCCUUGGUUUCUGUUACGUGGAAACUACUUGGUAUGAUGAAAACAAAAAUUUGGUAUUGCAGAUACGAACAAGUUUAUUGCUUUACCAUUAUGAGGUUGUUACAUGUCGUGAAAAAAGAUGCUGGAGAAAAAUAUCAAUAGGGUCAAUAGUUUUCAAAAAUUUAAUAAGUGCUGCUUGAAUCUGAUUGCAGAUAGAACCCAAGUUGAACCUGAUAAGGAGUAAGGACAAUUUGAAACUGAUUAGCUUUUUGGGUUUUGGAUGGACCUGGCUUGGCCUCUGCCAAACCUGACUUGUUCACACCAGCUAAUGGAAGUCUUUAUCCUUGAUCUGUCAAUAUGAGUGCCUUAAAGGCUUUGAGGAUGGAAGUAAGAUGGCCAGUUUGAUAACAAUUAAAGCAAGUGGGAAGAAGGAAGGGAAAAUAAGAAGGAAUAAGAAAGUAAGUAGCAAGUGCAGCUAAAGCCUGCUAGCCAAACAUCCAUUUUUAUAUUUAUUAUUGUGCUUAGGAAGCCACUAAAGAGCUGGUGCAGGACCAAGAUACAAAUUGCAGUGUAGUGACAUUUAAAGUGAUGAAGAACUUCUAGUUAUGUUUUCAGAAAAUGAUUUCUAGUGUGACCUGAUUGUCAAUAAAACGAAAAAUACAUAAUGUAGCUCAUUGACAUCAACUAUUUUAAAUCAAAUCAACAUUGUUAAAAUAUAUGCUGGCUUGUUGGCAAGAACUGCUUGCAUGCAUACAUGCCUAUUGGCCUUAUACACACCCAUGCACAAUAUUAAAGAGCAACAAUUUUGAUUUUGGUAUACUGCUUCAUAGAAUCUAUCUGUCAAAAAUUGUUCCUAAAAUACUCAUAACCUUACUCCACAUGGAAACCAAACCCGUUAGGCUUGAAUCUCUACUCUCAGCUUCAUUUGAAUUAAGUUAGAAGGAUUUGAUUUCAAUUAAAAGCAAACAGCUGUUAAUUUCCAAUUUUCCCUUUAUAGAGAUUGAUCUGAAAUGAUUCAUGGAGGUUUGGGAUCUCUUGAUGGUUAGACAAGCUGGACCCUUUGAAAUUUCAAGAGAGUAAAAUUAAUUGUCCAACACCAUCUUUUCCCUCCCUAUUCAAUUAGUGCACCACCACAUCACCCAUGUCCUAGAUCACAGUACUCUUCCUUAAUCCAUGCUGCCAUCAUCUUCUCUUUAUAGUCUCUUUCCAUUAUUACCUCAUGACUUUAUUCCAUGCUGAUUAUAAGUUUGGCAUGAUAUUUGAAGAGUGUUCAGUCUUUGAUUGUGCAAAUUAAUGUGAUAAAUAGAUGUUAUUAUCUUAGCUGAGUCCAUUUAUGUGCUGCACUUUGGUAAUGAGUGCAUUAGUUGGUUAAGAUUUAUCUUCUGUUGGUCGCAUUAUAACUAAUCUUCUUUUGGCACAGAUUUGAUAAAUCAACUAAAAAAGGUGUGUUGAAUGGCUAUUUCCUGUGGUUGGUACUUGGCUAUGCAUUUGGUGGGUCUUCUUUUUCCUUAAGUCUGGUUUUGUUACUUUUCUUUAUUCUUGGAAGAUUUUUUUUUCUGAGCAAUUAUGACAGAAUUUAUUACUUCUACUUUUUAAAAUGUUGGUAUGGGUUGUGACCAUGUGUCUAUUUUUAAUUGUAAUUUUAUAAAGCUUAAUGGAAUGUUCUUCACAGAUUCAUCAUGCAAAGCUUGCUUGGUUUAUUGAAGUAUGUGGUGUUUUGGAUGGUUUCACCAUGAUUCAAGUACUUUGGUGUGGAUAGCACUAAAGGUUAACUUAGCAUAAUAUAUAUCGAGAACCUAUGAUCAGAACAUCGGCCUGUUUGUUGGAGACAAUGGAUAAGAUGCAGAAAAGGAUUAGUAGGGCUGUGUUUUAUUGGGAAAUAAGAAGAAAUAUAGGUCCUUUAACCCACUAAUGCCACUCUUUUCAACCAAACACUCUUGAGCACUGGGUUAAAUCAACUUUUCAAAAGGGAAAAUCGGUAUUUUUGAAAAGUAGGUACAACAUAUAAAUGCUUCAAUUUUUGACUUCCUAACCCAUUUAGUUCACUUAAUCUAAAAAGAACGUACUCCCAUUAAUAGGUGGAAUCAUCUAAUUUCAUUUCUUUUUUCUCCAAGUCAUUCCCUUUAACCCAGCUAAUCAGAAUUCUUUGUUCUUGAACCAAAUACUGCCUAAGAAUGUAUUACCGAAUGAGGGGAAAAAAGAAAGGGAAUGAAAAAAGAAGGGAAGAAGCAACAAUUUUGCUUUUCAAGGCUGCCUUUUCUUUGUUUAAAUAAUGUAUCAGGCUGUGCCUUCUGUCUUGUUGAAUAACCAAAAUGCCCUCAGCCAUGAGCAUGAUUUAUAGGCUGCUCAUGAGGCAUCCAAAAUCUGUCAUUAAAUCUCACACACAUUUAUAACAAGUAAAGCCAACUGUGUAGGCAUACAAAUCAUCUCAAUGAACCUCUAGAGAUAAGACCUUUUAAGGAUUGAAGCUUGGAAGAGCAUGUAGCUAAUCACUAUCUGCCCAAGGGUUUUAGUAAAGAUGUUGACCUAUUAUUCCUUCAAUGUUGUGUAUAAAGCCACAAAUGUCCUUUUUCACACUUUUUUAUGGAUAAAAUAGCAGUCCAGCUCAAUGGUUAUUGUUGUUUAUAAAAACAUUGGAUCAUUUCCUAAACGCCUUGAAUAUGGAAGGGCAUCAUGAAGUAAUUGAAUCUAGUUCAUAUUGGUCAUGUUGAAAUUAAAUGCACAAUUACGAAUUUGCCUGGACACAAUGUUUCAAGUCUCAGUACCGGACUGUGUGCUGGUAACUUACCAGUACAGGUUGCUCAAGUAUGAUACGCUCCUGCAUGGACAUAAAAUAUGCUGUUGGAGUUGGAACAGUACCUGUACCAUAUGUUUGUACGGGUAUGUAUCGAGCCCUUAUACCAUACUAGGUGACAAUGGUACAACCUGCACUGUUUAGUGCAAUUUUUCACUUGAAACCUUGCAUGGAAGUUCACAUAAUCUAGCUCUUACAAAUUUCCCUUGAUGUUUUGUGGACUUGGAAGUUGAUGUUUUAUGCUCUAGACUCAACAGGAAACUAAUGUGAUCAAAUAUACUUGCUGUUUCUGUUCAUCUUAUUAGAGUACUCUGUCAAUUUAUAUUCAUCCUUAGAAGGCCUCACUGGUGUUUUAUUGCUUUAAAAGCUGUCGCUUGCAUGUGGGACCAAAUUCAGCAAAAAUAUGGAGUACAUCUGUUUGACACUCUUCUGCGUGCUAAGAUAUAACAUUGCUCAAAACAAAAGCAAUAGAUGAUCACUUGACACCUAGAUGGAAUGGAGGGACAUCAGUGGGACCUCUAGCUUUAGAUAACCUCUUUCCAAUGCAUACCAACAAAUUAGUGCUCAGAUUAACCCAUAUACCAUAGCUCAAAAAAUCCAAGUUUGCUGUAUCAGAGUCCUUGAGGUCAUACAUUGCACCAGAUUAACCCACAUACCAUAGCUCAAAAAAUCCAAGUUUGCUGUAUCAGAGUCCUUGAGGUCAUACAUUGCACCAACAGUCAAUCACGGUCAAUAUUACAUCUCGCAGUUUCUUAUGAAUGAAUUUUGCAUAAGGAUUACUCCAAGCCUCCAUCAAUCUACCCCAUAUUAUGUUAUAAGUGGGCUAGGUGCUGGGUCAGUUGAAUUAAUCUUGCCACUGGACUUAAAUGCUUGGCUAUUUAAUUAUUUUCUCUUGGGGGAAAGGCCAACCUCCUGUUAGCCCGAUGGUCUAGGCUGUAGUAUAUGAAAACUUUGGGGGUUAGACUUUCUUGAACAUCUUCAUUGGUGUUAGAAUAGGUUGAGAACAGCUAAAUUGGGCUUUUGACUUUCUGGGUCAAAUAAGACCUAGCAUUCAGUUUGAUAGUUUUAGUUUAUUUUCGGAAAUGCUUCAGCUGAAAAUUGUACUAAUUCAAGGUCUGCUAGAUUCAUCACCUAGCCUUAAUCAUGGGCUUUGCCAAUGAUGGUCAGGUUCACCAAUUGGUAAUUACACUCAAGGUGCACCUGAGUAUUGGAGUGCAUCAUUAAGAUCUAUAUUUGUAAAUGUAUUGAACGAUUUAGUUUUUUUAAACCCAAGCCUUAGGCACUUCCUUUUUUUUCUUUUCCAUUUAUAAGCUCUCACAUAAUUGUGUAAGUUAAAUUGCUCUUAUGGAAGGUCUCUUAAAAACCGAUUGCAUAAAAGAGAUUUCUUAUGUUCACUCUCAUUGCAGAAAAGGACACAUGCACCAUUUGGUCAUGCUUGUAUAUCAAAAUUAUCUAUUUGCUUCAGGAAUUUCAUUGUAGCAUGAAAGAUUUUAGCAUGUUGGCUGCUGAACAACCAUAUCAUGAGCCUAUAUGUGUUGUGUUGUCUUUAUUGUAGUUUAUUAUUUCCUUCAUCUGCACUGGUUGCACAGCUGAUGAUUGGAACCACUAGAUAGUUAACCACUGCAUGGUUGAUAAUUGCAUCUUGUGAUCUUCCAGUUAACACCUCUUUACUGAAACUUUUAUUUGUUUAUGCUGUGCGAAAGAAGAGAAUCAGAUAAUAUGAAAUGCAUGAGACUGAAACUUUAAUUUGUUUAAUUGCACAAAAGCAGAGAACAAAAUAGGAAAUGCUUGGGUCCAACAUGGUCACCUGUAACAAACUUUUUGUCCUAAGAAAAUGCUCUCUUUUUUGCAGGCUUAUCCUUGACAUAUCUUGGUUUAUACCUAAUGAAGGGACAUGGACAGCCUGCCCUGCUCUACUUGGUUCCCUGCACCUUAGGUAAUGAACCGUAUCUACUUGUUCUGGUCAUGAAUAUUUAAAUCCUCCAUCAAUCUGUUAUGAUGUCGUUCAUGAAUGAUGACCAUUUCUGGGCUUAAAUUAUCAGGUGUUACUAUUAUUUUGGGUGGGAUAAGAGGAGAACUAAAUGAACUUUGGAACUUCAGAGAAAAACAAUCUGAUGCCAGUCCUGCUGGACAUGUUUAAGCACUACUCUGCUGAAUCUCAUGAGAGAUGACCAUCAAGCAUCAUCAACCUACUGAUGCCACCGUCUCAGCAAAAACUGAUUGGGACCUGCACUCCCUGCUACAAACUAUCAGAUCUGACAGAGACGAGAAAUAGUUAGGAAGCUUAUUGCUCAAAAGAUGAAGCAGAGUUUGGAAACACUUAUCCGUCCUUGAUAACAAGCUAAUCAUCAUCCAAUUGCGGCAGCUCUUAAUUUGCCAUCACAUGUGAUGUGGUUUUACGUCUUCUUGUAAUAUCACAAUAGGAUGCAUUUGUGAUGUUCAUCUAGACAAGUUGUUCCAUCAUUGUAUUUAUAAUAUCUAUCAGGUAACUUGUUGAAAGACCUUGUGAUAACGUGGUCCAAUUGGACCAGCCGUAACAAUUUUAAAGCAGCCAAAAAAAAAAAACCAAAAAAAAAACAAUUGGAAGAAGACUCUGAGCCAGAGUCUUCUUCAACGAUUGAAUCCAAGAAGAGCCGGAGUCUUAGGGCAAAGAGGAUCCAAGGGCUCUUUAUAAAUAGCCCUCUCAUUCCUCGUAUAGCCCUCCAUUAGUGAUCAUUGCAUUCUUUCUCUCUCUUUCUCCUGAUUUUUACUGGAUUCUUUCGCCAUGCCCAUUGAAAAUUCAGGCCAAAGACGCCACUAGAGCUAGGGUAACGUUUCGGUCCUUCCUCUUCUCCCUUCUUCUCUUUGCCUUAGGCAUCAUCGCUGGCUGUCGGUUCCAUCAGAAAUUGAAUUUUUUUUUUAUUUUUUUAAUGAUUUUUUUGAUAUAUCGUCAUCAGCCACCUACUGGCAGUAAAAAAAAAAACUCUUGUAUUUCUCUCUCCUCUCUAGAUUUUUCUUUCUACCUUUUUUCUCUCUCUAUCUAAUCCAUAGACCCCAGUGUUUGUUGUCAUGCUCCCAUACUAUGAACCAAGAAAUUCGUUUAGAAAGGAGGCCCAAAAUUGCUUUAAUAUUCAUGCAGUAUGUUGGAUCCGGUUUGGUUCUUGCCAAAUAUUUAUAGAAUCUGAUUACUGUUAAUCCCUAUUGAAUCAUCCUGAUAUGACCCCUAAUGAUCUUAUCCUGAUUUUCUUUUUUGAGGGAUGCCUCCCUCCACUUCCUCUACAAGAAGAUAUGUGAAUCCUAGUAUUGAGUCUUAUUUCCUUAUUUCAUAGAUUCGUGUUGUCCGCUCAGUCAAUUAUCCUCUUUCUUUAUAAUUUAAUCUUAUUGAAUUCAUAGAAUAGAAGGGAUUAUGUUUUUGAUAUUUUUAGUAGGAUCACUUGAUUCUUCUAACGAAGUUUAAAGAUUUAGGAUGAACAUGGUAAGUAGAUUUUACAUAUUUAUUUAUUUUUAAAUUAUUAUAUUUUUCAUGCAAAUGAUCUAUUACUGUUGAAAUCAUAUUUUUUAUAAAAUAAAAAUUAAUAUAUGAGAUAUGAAAAGUAUGUUUUAUUAUGACAAGUGAUUUUAUAAAUAUAUUUUAUAAAAAUAAUAUAUUUAUGAAAUAUGAAUUUUAUUAUUUUUCUUAUCUAUAUAUAUAUAUAUCUUUUAAGAAAAAGAUGUAAAGAUUUUAAAAACUUUCAAAUAGUCAUGAAUAAAUUUUUAAAAUUGAGAAGGUCGAUACUCAAAGCUAGCAUAUACAAGAAAUAUGACUCCACCUAUGGAUAUAAAUUUGGCAUAUAAAAUAAGAACUAUUAAUUAAGAAGUAUGACCUUGUCACGGAUAUAAAGUUACCAUAGCAUGAACAUCUGUGAGCAAUAUUUUAAAAUAUGACAUGAAUAAUUGAUAAGAAAGAUUUAUGAAUCAUGUUUACGAAAUGUUCAUAAUUUAUGCAUACAUGAUUAUUUUUAUGACUCAUUUUAUUAUAUGUCCUAUGAAAUAUUUUAUUUUAUAUUAUUUAUUAUUUUUUAAUAUUAUAUUAUCAUAGAAAAAUUUAUGCUUGAUUCGAUAAGAAAGCGUAGAUUUUAUUUACUGAGCUAGUGUAGUUUAUACCUCUUUAUUUUUUUUAUAGAGGAAUAAGGUUAGAAACGAUGGAGGAUCCAAAUUUGAAGAUUUGUGUAGCAAGCUUUGAAAGUUUGCAGCUAAAACUAGUUUAUUAGAUAAUUAUGGACUUGUAGUUAAUUAUUUAUAAAUUGUAAGACUUGGGUUUGAUAUUUGAUUUUGGAUUUACAUAUUUUAAAUCAAUCUUGAUUUAAUUAUUUGAUAAAUAAUUAAAUUAAAUAUUUUAUUAUAUUUUAUUUGUGAUAGAUUUUAGCUGAUCAUGAUUGAUAGACUUUGUGUUAUCGUGGAUGGUAUCCCUCGGUAGUAUGGUUGUAUUUUGUUCUGAAUUUGAGGCAUAACAUUUUAUGGUAUCAGAGCAAUAGAUUAUGGGUAGAACUUGAAGUCUAGCAAUAAGUAAUUAGGUCUCCUUUAGCUAGAUCACGUUUAAUUGAAUGGGAGUAAAUAAAUUUCCAUAGAGUUCUUAUUACUCAUUUAAAAAAGUUGAUUAAUGCUUAUAUUUUGGAUAGGUGAUGAUGAGCAACAAAGAGGAUGAAGUCUUGGUGAACUUUGCCACUGGGAGGAGAGAAGCAAGAGGGACUAGAAGGGGGGAUGCCAACCAGCCAGUUGGACAGACCCUAAUGUGCCAGCCACUUAGGCAGAUAUUAUUGGAGUAUGCCAAGGGAUGGUUCAGCUUAUUUAGCAACAGCAGCAAACACAAGCUGCUCCUCAACCUAUACCAUCUGUGGAGUCAUAUUAUGAGAGGUUUAGAAGGCUUAGCCCACCAUUGUUUGAUGUUGAACCUGAUCCUCUAGUUGUGGAGAUCUGGAUUCACAAAAUGGAGAAAAUAUUCAAUGCCCUAUAGUAUCCCAAGGAUGUAAAGGUCAUGUUAGCCAUACCUAUGCCGAAAAAAAAUACUGAUCUUUGAUGGACUGUAAUAAAGACCACAUAUGAAAAUAAUCAUAAUAAGCUAACAUGGUAGGAGCUCAAAAUUAUAUUUUAUGAUCAAUAUUUUUUUAGGUCAAUUAGAUUGGUAAAGAAAAUAAGUUCUUAACUUUGAGGCAAAAAGAUGAUAUGACAGUACUAGAAUAUGCAAACAAAUUCAAAGAGUUCAAUCAUUUUUGCUCUUAGCUCAUGGAGUCUGAAAGAAGCAAAGUAAAUAGAAUUGAGUAUGGUCUAGGAUAUAAAACUUGGUUUCACUUGUCCUCUCACCUUUUUAAUAACUACAAGCAUGUACUAAAACAAAGUUUGAAAGUGGAAUUGGAUCUUAAAAGAUUGGAAAAAGAAAAGGAGGAUAGGAAGGGGUCCAGAUCAAUAGAAAUUCGAAGAGACCAACAUGACAAAUUAGAAAAUCACUCUAAUAAGAAGAUAGGGGAAGAGACAUGUGAGUAUUGUGGCAAAAAUCAUAAUGGGCCUUCUCUCAAAAAGAUAGGAACAGUUUCUUAUGUGGUGAGUGUUGGGGGCACAGCAGAAGGCCCAGAUAUUUAAAAUUUUCAUUCAAACACCCGAGUGUACCGAAACCCUAAUGCCUAGAAAUCCUUGAUAAUAGCAAUUAAAGCAUAAAUAUACAAGAAGUAUUAGUAAGCAUACCUUUUGAAUUCUGAUUUGAUGAAGAAUUAUUUUCACUAGGUACCCAAGUGUUCGUCCUUCAAUGGUGAUCUACAUAAGAAUCGAUCUAAGGACAGUGCUCCUUCACUUUGCUUCAAGAGUUAACUCUUAGAACUUGACCAGCCUCCAACUGAUUAGACCCUCCUCCAGACCUGAGUUUGGACCUUUUAGAACUUCCUUCUGACUUUGACCUCCUUUUUUAAGAUCUCUUAAAUCCUUUGUUUUAAAAGAAAUAGGCUUGUCUUAAAAAAACAAAUCUUGUCCUAAAAGAACUAGAGUUGUAAGAGAGGGAGAGAGGGGGCGGAUAAGACAACUCUUGUCUGAAUUUAAUUGGAAUGCCUUGUCCCCAUCUGCCAUCCCCUAUUUAUAAGACACGAGGGGGCACCAAAAGAGAAGCCACACCUCUUAGGAAAAAGCAUAUUUGAUCUACAUAUCAGAAAUAAGAGUCCUUCUGAAGAAAAAACUCUUCAAGCAAAUAUGGUGUUUGAUUCCUCUCUAACGCACACGCCCAAUAAAGGGCAUCAUGGGCAUCCAAUCAUUUAUCAGAUUAUUUCCUAAGAAGACAUGUGGAAUCAGCAUUUAAAUCUGAUUCAAAUAAGGAAAAAAUUUAGAUAAAUAUGGUGCCAAUCAUCUGCUUAAAAUAGGAGUCUUCACAUCUCUUCGCAUAACCUGCAGUUCUCCUGCGCACGCACAUCAUAAAGAGAUGUUUUUGGCAUCCUUCCACUUAUUAGAUAAACUUGAGAUUUUUCCAUGUUAAUCCUUAUUUGAAUAAGGAUUCAAAUGUUGGGAUUUAUCAGAUAGGGAUGCCUCCUAUCCCAUGGCAGAAGGACUCUUCACAUGAUAAGUUGCAUGAAUUCAUUUUUUUACGCACACAGCCUUCAUUGCAAAAAUUCUCCAUGCCAAAGUAAAUCCAAAAAAAAAUUAUAUCAACCUUUGAGAUAUGUGCCAAAGAAUGAAGGAUGAUAUGGACUACCACACGGGUCUUAAUCCCAAAGCAGAAGGUCUCUUUCCUUCCCCUCACGCCAAACCACACGCCAACAGACUUCUAGCGUGCCUAGAGUUCAACUUAGUUUGGACUCUUAGUUAUGGUAUCUUAUGAGGCUAUGUGGCACCAUCCAAAGUAGCCACACCCUGAUCCAAACACAAAAUAAGCCUUGGCAUAAUUUGGUUUGAUCAAGAAGUAAGAUUCGAACUGAAUUUAAAUCCGAUUCAAGGAGUUAGAGUUUUCACACAUGCUAGCAUGCUUAACAAAAAUUUGAUUGGAUCUAAAACUCCAAUCAACCAUAUCAAAUGGGUUCUUGGCUAACUUUUUAAUGUGUGUGAUCUAUUGGAUUUCACAUCUAGCCAGCAGUAGGUCUAGAUACAAGUUGACCUAAUUUGAUUAGAACUUUUUCUAAUUGAUUAAGGUCCAAAUCCUGCCACCCCGAGUUCAGCAUAUAGAACUUUUUCUAAUUGAUAAUCGAAUUAAACUCUUUAAUCCGAUCAAAUCUAUAAGUCAAGAUUGUUAUUUAGCAAUGUAUCAUGACUAUCCAGAAGAUAUAAAAUUUGAUAAAAAUAUCAAAUAUAUCAUUCAGUGGUAAGUUACCAUAUAAUUCAAUUCUUCGAUCAUCCUGCAUCCCGAAUAUGUUCAUGAAUAUAGAAUUAUAUCAAACUCAAACACAUAUACAUAUUGAUUCUCUAUCAAUCAGUGAUGACUCUAAUGAUAAAGUAUUAAAAAUUCUUUUUAAUCUUCAUGCUGCUUUGGCCAAAGACUUUCUGAGUCAUCUGGAGAUGAUAAUGCAUAGGAUGUCAUCUCCUCUUACUAAGAGUGAUCGAUUCCUUAUUGAUCGACUUACAAUCUUCAUACAUAUUUUAUCAUAUUCAGAACAUCUCAUAUAUAUCUUAAUGUUAUACAUGGAUAUGAACCAAAAUAUAGAUUUAUAUGUAUAAGAUUCUAUGGUGGUCUCAGGUCUAAGGAUCACUUGCACAACUUUUACUUAGAGAACAAUCUUUUGACAUGCAAGUAAGGCUCCAUAAGAUAUUCUCUAUCGGUGAGUCAAUUCAGUAAACUCAUUUACUAAUGAGCAUCCACAUCCUUAUAUUAGUGUCUCACACAAGUGACUUGUGAAAUUAGCCCCCUCUUCAUCGAGCAUACAUAGGAUGUGCCAGUCUAUCCAAAAAAUUGAUCCUUAAUAUUCUUACGACUAGAAAUAUUUAGGAUUAGAAUUUUAAAUUUUACAGGCAUAAACUUUUUAUGGCCCUAAAAUCACUAUCCUAAUUCAUGAGGUUCAUUAUAAUCUUAUACAUAAUAAGAUCCAGCUAUAAUGAUGAAUCAAUACCUCAUUUUAUUAACUAAUGAAUAAUGUCAUUUUAUGAGUUGGAAGAUCAUAAAAAAAAGUUCCAUCGCAUCAAUUAUGCGAUUGACUUGUAGGGCACUCUUCUUUCAAUCUCCCACUUGUAUUAAAGCUAAUCACCUUUGUAUCUUAAUCCUAUACAAUCGAGAUGGCGAUCAAACAGCUAUUGUGGUAUGACCUUAGUGAAUGGAUCUGCUAUAUUAUUUUUAGUAUCAACUUGUUCUAUUAUCUUAUCUUUCGAUAAAUUUUUGAAUGAGGUGGAAGCAUCUAAGGAUGUGCUUGGAUAUUUAAUGAGACCUAGGUUCUUUGGCUUAAGUAACGCCCCAGUGUUAACAUAAUAAACUAGCACUAGUCAUUCUAUCUGAGAAGCUAUAUCCAUUUCUGUGAUGAAUUUUUUUAUUCAGAUAGCUUCCUAGGCGGCUUUACUAACAGCAAUAUACUCUGACUCAGUGAUUGAGUCAGCUAUAGUCUGUUGUUUGAAAUUCUUCUAAUUUACUACUCCACCAUUUAGGAUAAACAUAUUCUCUGAUAUUGACUUGCAAUCAUCUAAAUCAAAUUGAAAACUAGAAUUUGUAUAACCUUUUAAUUUCAACUCUGAUCCUCUAUGUAUAAGAAAAACAUCUUUAGUCCUUCUUAGGUACUUAAAAAUAUUUUUCAUAGCUUUUCAAUAAUUCUCCCUUGGAUCAGCCUGAAACUUGCUAGCUAUGCUUAUAGCAUAAGCUAUAUCAGGCCUGGUACAUAGCAUAGCAUAUAUGAUUGAUCCCACAGUCGAAAUAUAAGGAAUCUUAUUUAUUCUGUUCCUCUCCUCAGAUGUCUUAGGAUACAUUUUCUUGGAGAGACAUAUAUCAUAUCUUACAGGCAGGUAACCUCUUCUUGUUGCUUCCAUGUUAAACAUCUUUAACACAAUAUCUAUGUACUGAGAUUAGGACAAGCCUAGCAUCCUCUUAGAUCUAUCUCUAUAGAUCUUUAUACCCAGUAUAUAGGAUGCUUCAUCCAAUUUUUUUAUAAAAAAAAUUAUUUGAUAGUCAAAUCUUGAUCGAUUAUAAUAUUGAGAUAUUAUUUCUAAUGAGUAGUAUGUCAUCGACAUACUGAACUAAUAAGAUAAUAGCACUCUUCGUUAUCUUCUUAUACACAUAUGGUUCAUCCUUAUUUUUGAUAAAGUCAAACUCUUUGACUAUCAUAUCAAAAUAGAUGUUCCAACUCCUUGAAGCUUGUUUCAAUUUAUAAAUUAAUUUUCUUAACUUGCAUACUUGAUUUACUCUUCCACUGGAGAUAAAUUCCUUUAGCCGAGUCAUAUAGACCUUUUUCUUAAGAUUACCAUCGAGGAAAAUGAUCUUGACAUCCAUCUUUCAGAUCUCAUAAUCGUAGUAUGCAGCUAUAGCAAGUAAUAUUCGAAUGGACUUGAGCAAGACACUGAUAGGAAUGUUUCAUCAUAGUCAAUUUUUUGCCUUUGACUAAAAUUCUUCACCACCAACCUAGUCUUGUAGGUUUUUACUUGGCCAUCUACUCCGAUCUUCUUCUUGAAGAUCCACUUGCACUCUAUUAUGGUCACACCAUUAAGCACAUGAACCAAAAUCCAUACUUGGUUAAUGUACAUUGAGUCUGUUUCAGAUUUUAUGGCAUCUAGCCACCUGUCUAAGUCUCUACGCACGAUAGCUUUUGAAUAGGUUAGUGGAUCAUCAUCCUCAAUGAUGUUGAUCUCAUUGUCAUUCUUAAUGAUAAAAUCAUAUCUUAGAAAUUUCUGUUGCACUCUAUCUAACUUUCAGAGAGGAGGUGUGUAUUAUGGAUGUACCUCAUCCUUGGGUACUUCUGGUUGAGAAUUAUUUUAAGAAUCAUCUACUGAUAAUUUUGAAAUGGUUUAUAGAUUUUGAACUUCUCUGAAUUUAACAUUCCUUCCACUGCCUCCUUCUUGUAUAAAUUUAUUUUUUAAAAAAGUAGCAUACCUACUAACAAAUACCUUUUGUUCAGUAAGAUGGUAGAAAUUGUAUCCUUUAAUUUUUUUAGGAUAUCCUACAAACCUACACUUGUCUAAUUUAGCACUUAGCUUAUGGCCACAAAUAUUUUUGAUAUAAGCAGGACAGCCCCAAAUUAGAUUUUCUUCUUUUUCAUAUCUCAUAUAGAGUAUUAACAACAGACUUUAAAGGCACCCUAUUCAAUAUAUAUGUGGCAGUUUCUAGGAGAUAUCUCUAGAACGAUAUUAAAAGAUCUAUGAAGCACAUCAUGGGCUGCACCAUAUUCAUCAAAGUAUAAUUCUUCCUUUCUGCUACACCAUUUAGCUGUGGUGUGUAAGGAGGGAUCCAUUGAGAGAGAAAAUCUUUAUACUUAAGAUGAUCAAGAAAUUUACUGGAUACGUAUUCUCCUUCUCGAUCAGAUCGAAAAAUCUUAAUAUCUUUUUCUAAUUUAUUUUUUAACCAUAUUUUGAUACUUCUUGAACUUAUCAAAUGUUUCAAUUUUAUGUUUCAUCAAGAAUACAUAUCCAAAUUUUGAUAGAUUAUCCACAAAGGUGAUAAAGUAAGAGUAUCCUCCUCUGACUUGAGUUGUCAUUGCUCCAUAUACAUCUGAAUGUACUAGGGCUAAUAGCUCCCUUGUCCUCUCUCCAUGUAUAGAGAAUGGAGUCUUGGUCAUCUUUUUCAUGAGAUAAGAUUCACAAUUUUUCAAUGAUUUAUAAUCAUAGAGAUCAAAGAAUUCUUCUUUAUAUAAGUUAUUUAUCUUUGACUCACUAAUAUGACCAAUGUGGCAAUUUCAGAGAUAUAUGAUAUACGCAUCUUCUCUCUUUUUUUUCAUAUUUUUAUCAAUAUGAAACAUAUUUUCGUUGAGUGCAAGAAGUCUUGCCCGAAGGUAACUUCAGCAUAUAGAUUUCCACAGCUUCUGUACUAAUGGACUCUCCACUUGCACUGAAAAGCUUGUGGUCAUCUCUUUUCAGUCCUCUGAGAUUUUAUAGUUUCUUUAAUGAAUUGUAGAUAUAUGAACCACAAGCAAUAUCCGAUACCCAAGUGUCAGAGACUGAGGUACUCAAUGAAAAGCAAGUUUGUAUCAUAUACAAUCCUUUCAGUGCAACACUUGCACCUUGCUUCAAACUUGCAAGAUAAUUCUUGCAAUCUUUCUUCCAAUGUCAUAUCUUGCUACAAUAAUAACAGGUGAUAUCCAUGGGGACAUCCUUUUCUUUCUUCUUUUUGAAAGUAUUAUCACUAAUUGAAUCAGGGUCAGAAAUAUCCAAAACAUAGGAGAUCUUCUCCUAUGCGAAUCUAAUUUGUAAGUUCCCAAUCAGUCCACAUAGUUCAGAUUGGUCAAUAUAUUUGCAUCAAUGAUGCUAUGCAAUGAGAGUGAAGUUCCAAAAUACAGAAUUGAUCUAUAUGAACUAAAAAUAAUAGUAUAAGCUGACCACUCAUGAUGACAUGCAUAACUAGAUGAGAUCUUCUAUCUAGUUAUGUCUCUUACUAUUUUAUCAGAUACCAUAGUCCUCAUCUAUAAUAAACGAGAAACCCUAAUUGAUUUUUUUAGUGAGGUUUCGAUCCUAAUUCCUCAUAAAAGUCUUGCAGUUACACAAUAAAUUUUUAAUGAGUUUAUCAAUAGAAAACUCUUUUCAAAUUCUCAACAUAACCUUGUCUCUAAAAUACUUAUAGCUUUAUAGUUACACAACAAACAAUAAUAUUUUAGUUAAGUCAGAUCCUCUAUUUCUAUACAGUCAUAUUCGAAUAAUGCUGCUCUUAUGGUUGCACAGCAAAGCAACACAUCCAAAAAUAUCGUAAGCAUCAAAAUGUACCAAGACUAUCCCACAUCAAACCUCAAUAGUAGGCCAUGUGGUUGCACAACAAACCUACUACAGUUUUUGAUAUGAAAUUAACUUAGCAUGAAGGCUUAUGUAGUGGUCCUAAACACUAAGCAUCGCAAAUUUAGAUUAAUUAAUCUAAUUGAUCAAAUAAGUAUAAGAUUGAUAGGAGACUCUCCGUACUUUCAUAAUGGUUCUAAUUAAGUAACCACCACUCAAGAACACUUGCCUUAAACACCAAUCGAUCAAUUACUGUCGAACUUAGAUCGCUUUUGAUUUGCACCACUAUGACUUAAUAUAAUUUUUAGGAGGGCUUUAUGGUCUCAUGCACAUCCUUUUUAAUACAUUAACAAUGGUACAUAAUCAUGCUAUGCUAGGUGUGAAUCAUAUCCUGAAUUAAAGCAUCUAAACAGAUCUCUAAGAUAGACUAGGGUUCGACUGUUCAUCGGACUUAUCUCAUGACCCGAAUUGAACUUGUUCGAAACCCUAGAUGAUCACUAUCUAGAUUAUAUUUCAUAAUGUACUUCAUACAUUCUAUAAUGAUGCAUAAUCAUACUUUAAAAAAAAUGCAUCUAAACAUAUCUUUAAGCAUGUCUAGGGUUUAGAUGUUCAAUCGGAUUCAACUCUUGAUCCGCACUGAACCAAACCAAUAACCCUAGGUAAAAUUAAAUCAUGCCAACAUGCUAUCCUCUGAUUGUAUUAAUUAAGGAGGCUUUGAUACCAUUGUUGGAUUCUAGUGGCAUAAUGGAAGAUUCAGAUGUUUAAAAUUUUUAUUCAAACACCUGGGUGCACCAAAAUUCUAAUAUCCAGGAAUCCUUGAUAAUAGCAAUCAAAGCAUAAAUAUAUAAAAAAUAUUAGUAAGCAUACCUUUUGAAUUCUAAUUUGGUGAAGAAUUAUUUUCACUAGGCACCUAAGUAUUCAUCCUCCAAUGGUGAUCCACACAGGAAUCGUUCCAAGGAUAGCGUUCCUCCUUCACCUUGCUUCAAGAGUUCUAACUCUUAGAACUCCACCAGCCUCCAACUGAUCAUACCCUCCUUCAGACCUGAGUCUGGACCUCUUAGAACCUUCUUCUGGCUUUGACCUCCUUCUUUAGGAUCUUACCCUUUGUCCUAAGAGGAAUGGCUUAUUCUUUUAGGCUUGUCUUAAAAGAACAAACCUUAUCCUAAAAGAACUAGAGUUGUAAGAGAGGGAGAGAGGGGGUGGAUAAGACAACUCUUGUCUGAAGUUAAUUGGAAUGCCUUGUCCCCAUCUGUCAUCCCCUAAUUAUAGGAUACAAGGGGGGACCAAAAGAGAAUCCACGCCUCUUAGGAAAAAGCAUAUUUGAUCUAUAUAUCAAAAAUAAGAGUCCUUCUGAAGAAAAAACUCUUCAAGCAGAUACGACAUUAGCCCUCUAAAGAUCUUUUUAGGUUAGCCUUCGCUUCUUGAUCGAUCAGGAUCUUCAUGGGCAUUAACUCGCUGAAGAGCGAGUAUGGCUUUUGAGGGUCCUUAUAGGUUAGCCCCUGUUGAAGAAAAAAUUUAUCCGAUCAAAUCAGAUGUUAGGAAAAAGGAAGAUUUCUAAUUUAAAAUUUUCAUAACUCUUAUGAAAGUUACCUUGAUAUGCAGUAAAAAAUUGAUCGAGGUUGAUUGAUUCUUGAAGAUCGUUGCUUCGCAAGAUUUGGAUGUCCAGACCCUCUACUUUGCUCGCAUGCCAAACAAUGUAGGAGAGAGAGAUGAAGAACUCUUUAAGAGGGAAAGAGAGGAGAGCCUUGAGAUCAUAUCUCGAAGCUAGAGAGGAGCCCACACGCCACACUAGCAAGGGAGAGGGAGGAUGUCCAAGAGGAGAGAGAUGCCCAGGGAAAGGGGACACCCAAAGUGAUCUCACACCUAGAACAAUUCUCAAUUGCUUGCUUGAUUGAUUUCUUUCUUCUCCACACCUCUCCUUAAAUAGACAAAAGGUCCUAGAUCAAAUCAAACACCUUCAUGAGUUUGGAAUAGGUUUUUCUUAGUUUGAAUUAAAUCCAAACUCUCUAAUCCAUGAGGAAUCCUAAAGGAAGUAGGAGAGGUGCCAACUUGCACCUCUCUCUCCAUGCUGCAUGCCCAAGGGAACCCUUCCUCCAUCUUGGUCAGCCAAAUAGGUGAGUGAUUACCUAGGAAACAUGGCUUAGUGUAUCAAAUUUGAUUUGGUUCAAAUUUGGGUUCAAUUCGAAUUCAAUUUGAAUUCGAUUCAAAUCAAAUUCGAAAAAACUGCUAAUCCUAAUCUAAUUAGGAUUUAGAUCUAAGUUCAACUUCGAUAAUUAACUCAAUUUAGCCUCAAUAAAAUUAAGCCUAAUUAGAUUAGAUCUGAUCUAAAAUAAUUAAAACUUAAAUCUAAUCUCUCAUAAUUUUUUGAAUCAUAGAUUUGAUCAAAUUUAUCUAUAGAAUCAAACCUGCGCCUCAUGUGUAGUGCUAGUUGGAUAAUGAGUGUUUAAUUCUGUAUGACCCAUAACUUAAAUAAAUCUAUAUGUUCAAUUAAGUCUCAUACUUUCAAAUUGAAUAUAUGGAUAUUAGGUCAAUUCUUUCCUAUGCAGUUUUACUUUAUGCAUGACUCUAUAGGUUCGAACACUAAGCCGGUAAUAUAGAAACUAUUUUCUAUACUAAUCAAAGUGACCAUCUAAUAAUGAUAUCUGACGUCCGGAUUGGUUGAAUAAUUAUAAAAUAACAUUCAAAAAUCUCAGCAUAUGGUUAUCGCUUAAUUCAUCUUUUUGACCCUAAUGUUUAUGGUGAUCUAGGAUUAAACUAUCAAUCCUGGAUGAGUCAUUCACAUUGUAUUUCAAUAUGUUUCAAAUUCUAUGCUAGAUCACAAGAAUUAUCCUGACCAAAGUUUUACUCGAUUGAGAUACAGUGAUUCAUUACUCUUGUAAUCCAGAGAGAUUAAUCCCAACUUGACUCAUACAUUGACUUUACCAGUUCUUGACUGUAUCUAGUAGCCUUCUGUCACUAUAUUAGAAAUACAGAUAGUCCAAAACUAAAGUACAGUGAGUUACUUGCAAAUCAUCGUGGUGAUCUUAGAUCGGAGAGACACUUAUGCCCAUAUUCUUUGCGAGCUACUCUUAACAGCAAAGCACUCCGUAGGUGAGUUAUUGAUCGGUGAUGAUGUACUCCUACAUCUCACUUGUAUAUCAUAUCAGUAUCUCUACACUCUUUGAUUAAGAGAACAAUCAAUCCAUAUGGCACACAAUGACCUAUCCUCGAUAAAUGUUAUUAUCCUUCUUAAUAACAUAUUAUUUGAUCACGAACAAGUUUAAAAACUAUUUAAUAAAUUAUUCUUUAUCGAUUAUAUUAUAGUUCUAAGGACUUCAUCAUAAUAUAAGAGUUUAAAGAAAGAUACACUUUUAUGAUGAACUUAUCAAAAAUAAUUUUUAUUUAUUAAUAAUAUAUAUAUAAAUUAUAAAAAGCUCAAUAAUCUAUAGAUAUAUAAUUGAUUUUAGGAUAUAUUUUUCAACAACUCCUACUUGGACUAAAGUCAAUCAGGACUGUAUCUAAUACCCAUCUUCUACUUAUGGUCAUCAAACUCUUUGGUCCCGAGAGCUUUAGUGAAGGGGUUGGUUAGAUUUUUUUUUCUAUCAAUUUUCAGCAGUUCGACAUCACCUCGAUCGAUGAUCUUACAGAUCAGGUGAUAGUGACACAGAAUAUGUUUAGUUCUUUAAUGAGACUUGGGUUCUUUAGCUUGAGCGAUUGCACCAGUGUUAUCAUAAUAUAGUAGAACUGGACCUUCAACUAAGAGAACCACUCCAAGUUUGCAGAUGAACUUCCUCAACCAAAUAGGUUCCUUUGCAGCAUUGGAUGCCGCAAUAUAUUUCACUUUGCAUACUAAAUUAGUUACUAUGUUUUGCUUGGAAUUCUUCCAACAGAUCGCUCCACCAUAUAAAGUAAAAAUGUAGCUAGACACACUCUUGCUGUCAUCAUGAUUUAGCUAAAAAUUAGAAUCAGUAUAUCCCAUAAAUUUAAAAUCAGUAUCUCUAUAAAUUAGCCAUUGAUCCUUAGUAUUUAUCAAAUACUUAAGGAUUAUCUUUACAACUUUUCAAUGGUUUUCAUCCGGAUCAAACUGAUACCUACUCACUAUCCCUAGUGAGUAGGUCACAUCCAGCCUCGUACAUAUCAUAGCAUACAUGAUAGAUCUCACUAUUGAGGUAUAUGGGAUUCUACUCAUAUGCUCUCUCUCUUGAGUUGUCGGACAAUCAUUUUAGAGAGAGUAAUUUCUUGGCCUAUCGGUAGAUAGUCUUUUUUAAAAUUUUUCAUACUGAAUCGUUUCAGCAUGGUAUCGAUGUAUGUGGAUUGGGACAACUCAAGUAAUCUUUUAGAUCUAUCUUUAUAGAUCUUCAUCCCUAGAAUGUAGGAUGCUUCUCCCAAAUCUUUUCUGGAGAACUAUGAUGAUAGCUACAACUUUAUAUUUUAUAAAGUAGGGAUGCCAUUUUUUAUUAAUAGUAUGUCAUCUACAUACAAUACAAGGAAUAUGACCACAGAACUAUUAGCCCAUUUAUAGAUGCAGGACUCCUCUUUGUUCUUAAUAAAGCCAUACAUUUUGAUCAUCUUAUCACAUGUUCCAACUUCGAGAAAGCUUGCUUCAGUCCAUAAAUUGAUAUGUUUAGCUUGCACACUUUGGAUUCAUUUAUAGAUGUGAAUCCUUCAUGUUGUAUCAUAUACACCUCUUCUUCCAACUUUUCAUUGAGGAAAAUAGUUUUGACAUCCAUUUGUCAGAUCUUAUAAUCUAGGUGUGCCGCUAUAGCAAGUAUAAUCCGAGUGGACUUGAGUAUUGCUGUAGGAGAGAAUGUCUUAUCAUAGUCAGCAUCAUAACAUUGACGAUAUCCCUUGGCAACUAGACGGGCUUUAUAGGUCUUUACCUUUUCGGCUGCUUUUCUUUUUUUUU